rnacentral:rRNA from 1 species
UACGUAGGUGGCAAGCGUUGUUCGGAAUUACUGGGCGUAAAGGGUUCGUAGGUGGCCAACUAAGUCAUACGUGAAAUCCCUCAGCUUAACCGGGGAACUGCGUCUGAUGCUGGUUGGCUUGAGUGCAGGAGAGGAACACGGAAUUCCAGGUGUAGCGGUGAAAUGCGUAGAUAUCUGGAGGAACACCGGUGGCGAAGGCGGCGUUCUGGACUGCAACUGACACUGAGGAACGAAAGCCAGGGGAGCAAACGGG